rnacentral:rRNA from 1 species
CAGGUCUUGACAUCCCACUGACCGGUUUAGAGAUAAGCCUUUCCCUUCGGGGACAGUGGUGACAGGUGGUGCAUGGUUGUCGUCAGCUCGUGUCGUGAGAUGUUGGGUUAAGUCCCGCAACGAGCGCAACCCUUGAUCUUAGUCGCCAGCAUUCAGUUGGGCACUCUAAGGUGACUGCCGGUGACAAACCGGAGGAAGGUGGGGAUGACGUCAAAUCAUCAUGCCCCUUAUGACCUGGGCUACACACGUGCUACAAUGGACGAUACAAAGGGCUGCAAACCCGCGAGGGGGAGCCAAUCCCAUAAAAUCGUUCUCAGUUCGGAUUGUAGGCUGCAACUCGCCUACAUGAAGCCGGAAUCGCUAGUAAUCGUGGAUCAGCAUGCCACGGUGAAUACGUUCCC